rnacentral:rRNA from 1 species
UACGGAGGUGGCAAGCGUUACUCGGAUUCACUGGGUGUAAAGGGCAAGUAGGCGGUCUUGUAAGUCGGGUGUGAAAUCCCACGGCUCAACCGUGGAAGUGCGCUCGAAACUGCGAGACUUGAGGACAGGAGAGGCGAAUGGAAUUCUCGGUGUAAGGGUGAAAUCUGUAGAUAUCGAGAGGAAUACCAGUGGCGAAGGCGAUUCGCUGGACUGUAUCUGACGCUGAGAGGCGAAAGCUAGGGUAGCAAACAGG